UACGGAGGGAGCUAGCGUUGUUCGGAUAUACUGGGCGUAAAGCGCACGUAGGCGGCGCAGCAAGUCAGGGGUGAAAUCCCGGAGCUUCAACUCCGGAACUGCCUUUGAAACUGCAGUGCUAGAAUCCUGGAGAGGCGAGUGGAAUUCCGAGUGUAGAGGUGAAAUUCGUAGAUAUUCGGAAGAACACCAGUGGCGAAGGCGACUCGCUGGACAGGUAUUGACGCUGAGGUGCGAAAGCGUGGGGAGCAAACAGG
rnacentral:rRNA from 1 species